UUUCUAGGGAGAGGAGAGGAAGGGAGGACAACCGCGCGUGAGAGAAAAGAGGAGAGGAGGAGGGGGAAGAACAGGAGGCGAGGCAAGGAAGGAGACGAGAGGUUGUAGGAAAGAGGUGGAGGAGGAGGAAGGAAAAGCACCUCAAUAGGAGGUGCAAGUCCUUGCAUUGGUAUGGGUGAUCGCCUAUGAUUCAUCAUGUCUCAUGGAGUAUCUUCAAUCCUACGUCGAGAAGAUCGGCCACCAUCAUCUUGGUACUAGAGACUCAUUCACUCGGUUAUGAUAUUGAAGAAAAGAAAGAUCCUCAAGCGACGGUGAAGUAUUUUCAAUACACCGCAAUACGAGAUUGUUUCAAAAGGGAGCUGCAUAAUGGUUUGAAUCAACUCCAAGAGAACCAUGGACAAUUUGCUACAAACAUCACUAGGGAUUUACAGAACGUACAAAUUCAAGCGCAGCAAAAUAUGGAGAACCUACAGGGUGACAUUGUUGCAUUGGCUUGAGUGUUGCAACGUUGAGACAAUAUAACCGAGAUGCUGCCAAUGGUUUUCAUCCAGUAAGAGGCCAUGCUCGAGCCAAUGGGCGUUGCCAAGGUGGGGCUGAAAUUGGUGCUGAGUAUGGUGCAAAUUUCAAAGUCCGGCGAUAUGAUAAUUACAAUCAUUGUCCACACAACAAUGAUGAAGAAGGGUUAGGCAAACUCAACAUCUCUAUGCCUAAGUUCACCGGAGGUACUGAUCCUGAAGAUUAUCUCACUUGGGAGUUGAAAUGUGACAAGAUAUUUCACAGUUAUCAUUUUUGGAACAAAACAAACUUCAAAUGGCAUCAGUAGAAUUUGAUGAAUAUGCUUUGCAUUGGUGGGAGCAAGUUAUGAAUCAGCAAGAAAAAAUUGAGAAUCACCUAUAGCUAUUUGGGCUGCUAUGAAAUAUGAGAUGAGAGCAUGUUUUGUGCCUACACAUUAUAGACAUGAUUAAUUUGACGAGCAUCAAAAUAUGAGGCAAGGUGCUCAAAUUGUGAUAGCCUAUUAAUGGUGGAAAUUUCUAUUUCAAGGGAUAGCCUAGUAGGAGUGAAGCUUUAGGAGGCUCAUCUAGUUCUCAAGUUUCAGCUAGCAAGGAAGAAGAAACUACAGCCCCACAUUCAUAGAUAUUCACGUAAGGGGUAACAAGGUGGCACCCUCUGGGCAAAUCACUUGGCACCAUACACCUCGACAUGGGACUAUGCCCUUGAGGAUGUCGUCGAGGAGCCUCAUCCUUUCUCCAACCCAGGCUACGAGGAGUAACUGUGGUGGUAUGUCUCACGCACACGUACACGGUCACCUACACCCUAGAUAUUGUUAGGCCGCACGUCACUUCGACUACGGAAACCUACCUGGGCCAUUGGGACGAGGACGCUGCAUGAGCGUCCGAUAUCAUAUACGAUAUCCAUAGGGUCGUGGCUGGAGCCAUGGGACACAUCAGGUAAGGGAUGCAGCUUAGUGCGGCAGAUGUAGCGGGAUUUAUCAAGUGGGUUUUUGACAAGACCGCACAGGCCCUGACGUAGACAUCGUCAGUGCCCCUUCCAGGUCCAGUGGGGUCCAUGCAGGGUUGUCCAGGAGGUUUGAUGUGCAAUGACAUCCAUAGGGGCCGACAUCGACACCGCCACCUCGACCACGCACUCCAGGACCGGUAACAAUAGGUUACUACGGUUAUGAAGUCGGGAUGUCUGCAUCUGCACCUCCACCAUUCGUACCCUACUUCGGCGAUCAAGCCAGGCCAUCUACAGCUACCCCUGCAUACCAUACAGGCCCCUGAGUGAUUAGGCAUGGACGACAGCGGUGGCAACAUCGCAGUCAUCAUACCUGAGUCAGGAGGAUGAGCCUGGCUCAGACCCUACGUUCGACAUCGUGAGGGACUUCUUCGGGGGUACCCCGAAAUACGCAGUCGUCACGGGUCCCAAGUUGCCUAGUGCUCCACUACCGAUGCAGCAGACCCAGGAGGAGGCCUUGAUGCCCACGAUUGCUAGAGGCCUACCAGGCAGGUUGUUCCACCGAACAACCUGGCCUACUCUAGGGGCCACGUGAGGACGAACUAGCGAUAGCGGUGAUAGGACCAUGAUGGUGGGAAUAACCGACGGCAACGAGAGAGACAG